rnacentral:lncRNA from 1 species
ACCAUUUCAGACAAAUCCAGUGUGAGGCAGUAAGUGGAAUGGAAAAAAAAAACAAAAAAAAUGGAUUCAAAGCUCAGAUCCACCAUUUAUUGACUAAAACUCUAAGCAAGUCGAUGUCCCUGAGGUUCAGAAAUGCUGUUCAAGCUUAAGAAAAAAAUUUUGCAUUCACAGAUGUACUGAUGAACAAAGAAGCAAUGAUCCCAUCUACCUAGAAAAUGGAUGAAAAGCACAGAUGUUCUAGAAUAGAUCCUUGAUAUGCCACCAUUUUCAGUCUCUGAACAGCCUAAAAUCUAAUUUUUGCCAGCUGAUCAAAUGGACUGUGAGGAGAAAAUCCAUAAGUAAGACCUAGAUGUCAGACUAAUAAACCUGCAGAGAAUUGUGUUUAAAUUCCAUUGAGAUGAUACAAGUUUGCUAACUGGAAUCCACGUAUAAUGACAGCAUAUUUUUCAUCACUAAAAUUCCAUUGUCAUUAACUCAUUAUCUGAAAGAUUAGCCCAUGAUCACUUCAGAUGAAAACUAACUGAAAAAAUGCCAUAAGUACUAGAAGUUAAUUUAUGGACUCGCCUGAAAUGUAGAUGCUCAAUCUGAGUCCUCUGACAGCCUCACUAUUUUAAAAGCAAGUUGGAUCCAGCGCUCUUGAAGAUGGAGAGGCAGCCGAGAACCACCUUCCCUAAUUGCCUGAUGAAGACUCCUCUUGAGUUGAGACACCAGCUUACUGGUUAUUGUGUCUAAUGAGUAAAUUUGCAAGCCUCCC